AACAUGAAGUCACUUAGGGUGUUCUUUGAGGACACCUGAUCUGCCAUCACGAGACUAGGCACCUUGAGGACCUCCUCAUACCUCUCUAGUUAGCACAGUAUCAUGCAGAAGAAGAGGGCUAGAUCUGGAGAGGUUGCUUUGCGCUCAGAGCAGAGAGACACAGCCUGACGAUCAGCUUUCCUCAUUCAUUUUUCGGAAUGCAACCACAGGCAUGGCAUGCCGAACUGUUUACAGUGAAAAUAAAGGAAAGACUGCAGAAGAUGGCACCAAGAAAGUGGAUGGUGACAACCUUGAUUGAGAGGACUCUUCAGGGCAUCUGGGUGUUUUGGGUCCUUGUCUAGGAUUCUGGUGAUAUGGAAGAGGAUGUACGAUGUCCAGCCUGGGGAGAAAUGCAGAAGGCAGUUUAAUAAAGCAUGCAGUGGAAUUGCCCUCCCUGGCCCUCCAGAUUAUAACAGUGGAGCACGGCCUGUCAGCCUCCCUCCUUCUCUCUCUGCCUCCCUCCCUGCCUUCCCUCUUGUUUUUCUUUAAUUAAGGCUGGUAUCUCAAUGAGGAUCUGAAGAGAUGCUCAUAUGUGCUCAGAAACUCUUCUGCAGUGCAGUGUUCACAGAAGGCCUCGUGGUGCUCACUUUCCUGCUCAGAGCUGCAAAGUCGAGCCUCCGCUGAGCUGGCAAAGAAGAGCCUGACUUUGUACAGAGGAAAUAAGGCUCAAUGCUGGUCAUUUCAACUCUUUGAAAGAGCUUUUCACAAAAUCCUGAAGAGGUGAUGUGUGUUGUCAUCAACUGGGGCGGUGGAAACCAGAAGCUUGCAGCUUAGGAGUCUGCUUUUUGAAUUAGCUCUUUGGGUAAUCAGUAUUCACACUAAAACCCGAGAGCUUCCCUCUAAAGUCAUUGUGACCUUUGGGGGAAGAGAGUGCUUGAUAGGAAGAAAAAUAACCACAUGAGCUGCCUCUUCUGAACUCCACUGGCCUUCAGAAUCAGUUCAUAAAUAAGACCGUAAACUUCCUGAGGUAAGGAAUCUUAAAUUGCAUUUCUUUGUGUCUCAGACACAGCAGUAUGUAACCAUGGAAUGAGCACAGUCCUGAGAGUCAAAAACACCUGAGUUUCAACUCUAUCUGCAACUGUCUCACCUUGGAUAAAUCCCGU
rnacentral:lncRNA from 1 species